UACGUAGGGUGCAAGCGUUAAUCGGAAUUACUGGGCGUAAAGCGCGUGUAGGCGGCUCGAUAAGUCUGCUGUGAAAGUUCAGGGCUCAACCCUGAAAUGCCGGUGGAAACUGUCGAGCUAGAGUCCGGAAGAGGCGAGUGGAAUUCCUGGUGUAGCGGUGAAAUGCGCAGAUAUCAGGAGGAACACCAAUGGCGAAGGCAGCUCGCUGGGACGGUACUGACGCUGAGACGCGAAAGCGUGGGGAGCAAACAGG
rnacentral:rRNA from 1 species